CCACGUCGGCAGCUCAUUAAGUUUUUCCCGUUGUGGCAGCGGAUGUGGGUCAACGUUUGAGGUUUCGCUGUUGAUUUUUUUAAUUUCCUCUUCAAAACAGAUGAGUUUCCUCCCCUCCUCGCUGACGACAGAUGCCGCCGGGGGCCGGGCACGGCGGUGGGGCGACGGGACGCCACGGCUGAUGGCCCCUCGCCGGAGAUAGGCAGCGCUCGGUGGGGCUGCCCACUUGCCCCCCGUGCCGGGAGGUCCCUGUCCCACCCGGCACGGUGGCCAUGGAGGGCGCCUCCGUCCUCAGCCCUUCCUCAUGGGAGAAGCGCCGGGCCUGGGCCCGGCAGAGCCGCUGCUGGAGGACCACCGUGGUGGAGGAGGAGGCGGCCGCCGCCAUGCAGGACGUCCCCGAGCUGCAGCCACCCCACCUGGACGACGUCUUCCUGGAAGGUCGGGAGGAGGGGGACACCUCGGGGUGCUCGUGAGACGGGGGGUGGGCACCCACGUGCUGGGUGGUCUCACCUGGUGUUUCUGUUUCCCACCCACCCCCAGGAAGCCCCUCCAGUAAGAUAGAGACGUGGCUGCAAGAGUGCGGGUCGUCGAUGGAGGUCCCGCCGGAGGAGCUGGGCUUGCCAGGCCCCUGUGGUACGUCAGCUUUGUCCCCACAGAGCUCUGGGGGUGCUGGUGGUCCCUGCGUGUCCCCAAAGCCCCUGGGUGGUGGACAGGGAGGUCUUCAAGGACCUCGAGACCUGUCCCCAGCCCUGGUUGUCCCCACACCUCCAAAGGCUUUGCUCUCUCGCAGGGUGUGGGAGCAACGGGACCAGCUUCGAGGAUGACCUGACCCUGGGAGCUGAAGGUACCAGCCCCCCCGGGGCACGCCAGGGUGUCCCCUCCUGUGGUGUCACUGUCACCCUGCAGGCAGAGCUGCCCCAGGGGUUGGGGACAGGCAGGAGCAGACCCAGGGUGACAGCCACCAUCAGUAGCUUUUCCUCCUGGAGGGUUUUGGUGGGGCUGGGGUGCCCCCAGGCUCUGUGUCCACCCAAGGCUCUGGGCUGUGGCCACCGGGAAGGACAUGUCCCGGGGUGGCAGAUGUGGGACCUGUCCCCAGAACCCCCCCUCUCACUCCCUGUCACCUCUCUGUCCCUUUUCCCAGCUCUUCUGCUACCGGGGAGCAACAAGGCCACGGGCAGGUGAGGUUUGGGGUCCUGGGGGAGGAUGGCAGGGGGUUGGGGACACUUUCCCUGUGCACCCCCUUCGCUCAGCCCUGUCCCCCCCCUGCCACCCCAGAGCUCUGCGGGACAAGC
rnacentral:lncRNA from 1 species